rnacentral:rRNA from 1 species
UACAGAGGUGGCAAGCGUUGUUCGGAAUUACUGGGCGUAAAGGGCGCGUAGGCGGUCUUCUAAGUCUUGUGUGAAAUCCCUCGGCUCAACUGAGGAACUGCACGGGAAACUGCUUGGCUUGAGUUCGGGAGAGGGAAGCGGAAUUCCGGGUGUAGCGGUGAAAUGCGUAGAUAUCCGGAGGAACACCGGUGGCGAAGGCGGCUCACUGGCCCGGAACUGACGCUGAGGUGCGAAAGCGUGGGGAGCAAACAGG